UUGUGUUGAUUCGGGAGGAUAACACCUGCACUCAGGCAGUUCUGGGUCGCCUGUCUUCGCGGUCACCGGCUAUGCACGCGGAGUUGCAGUGUCUGUGGGAGUUCCUGCAAGAGCACAGCAUCGUUUUGCAGGUGGAGAGGGUUGAGAGUGCGGCAAACGAGGCGGAUGCCGCCUCCCUUUGGAUCGAUCGGGACAGUGUUUUUCUUUUCAAUUUUGCCG
rnacentral:lncRNA from 1 species